UUAAAAAUACAUAUGCAUCAUUGCAUAGCAAUAAUGCAUAAUUACAACAAUUUAACGGCGCCCACCUGUACAAGUUCCGCUACCAGAAGGACGCUUAUUUGUUGGCCCACUACCUCUCGCCCAAUCCCUAGCUUUAGAUACGGAAUUUCGAUUAGUAAUAUGUUUACCUACAUGUUUUGUUCUAUUUGCCACGUUUCCACCGGAAACUUGGUCUAAUUGUUCAGAUAUAAUUUCUUUCAUAACCAUGCUCCAUUAUGAUUUAAUUUUUAUGACAGUAGUUUACUGUCAAGCUUUAUUCUCUAUGAAUUAAGCUAUCUAAGACAAUAUGGAUAAAACGCACAUUUAGUUGCGA
rnacentral:misc_RNA from 1 species